rnacentral:lncRNA from 1 species
AUGUAGAUGUAGAUGAUGAUGAAGACAAAAUACAGACAGUCAGAGGCCUUUUCAUAGCCAAAGGAGCCUGAAGGAAUACAAAAUACUUCUCCCAGUUGAAAGUGGUAGGUUUAACAACAUGUUUACUUUUUUCUUUAUUACGUGUGGAAUAAAAGUACAUUCAUAAAAUAGGAUAUUUUUAUUUUUUGGAAAGGGGGAGGGGCAAUGACUCAAUUUAGUAUGUACAUGUACAUGUAUGUGACCAAUAGCUUUCAAGCUCUGGUCCCAGUGAAAUGCUAGACAUGUAGUCAUGACAGUUAGCCUGUUUAGUUGAAUUAUUUAUUUUAAUUUUAUUAAUAUUAAAUAAACCUAAAUAUUUGAAAUAUCCAAAUAGGAUGAUUUGAAAUGAUUGCCAUUCGCCCUAGUUUCUGUUCGCCCUAAUACCUGUUCGCCUCGAGUCCGUUCGCCCUGUUUUUAUUUUUUAGUAUAGUGUUGUGUUGUGUGUAUAUAAUUGAAUGCGUUGAAGUCAGUCUUAAAUUUGGCCGAAUAUUUACGAUGUAUCAUGUUGUUUAUAGCUAGCUAGCUGCUACUAGGACUAGGUUAUAAGUUUCUGUACAUUUCAGGACUACAAGAUAUUGUGGCUUCAAGGUAUUGCCUUGAAGACUAAGUUUGUAUCUGUAUGUUAUUACGUUACUAGGAAAUUUAAGUUUCUGUGAAUUUCAGCACUACAUUGUAUUUUUAAAUGUAAAACAACUGAAGACUAAAUUAUUUGUAUGUUAUUGAAUAUGUUGAAGUUUACAUUCACCGAAUAUUUAUUUAUGAUGUAUAUUCUGUGGUACUGCUAUCAUAGAAAAUAAGUUUCUCGGAAUUUCAGCACUACCGUGAUUGUAUUUUAAAAUGUGAAACAACUGAAGACUAAGUUGUUGUCUUGCUGCUACGAGGAUAAGUUUCUGUGUAUUCAAAGACUACAAAGUAUUUGACAUAAAACAACUAAAGACUAAGUCUAUAUUUAACUUUAUUGAUAUAUGUUAACAAUAUAAAAAUAUUCAGUAACAGUUAUAACAAUUAAGAUCAAUUCCGAACUGUACUUCGCACACCUUUAUUUCCUAAACGAAUAUUUAAAAGCACUAAUUUUGAAUUACUAUUAGUGAAACAAAUAUCAAAAAACACAGUCACACUGCUGUACAUUGAUCACUUGUCAUCAGUGUUUUUACCCAUCCAAGCUUACUGUUUAUUUGAGAAAAAUGUUCUUUUCAUUAUUAAUCCAUCAAAGACAAUUCAUAUAACAAUCAGUGAUAUCAAAGAUUUCAAAUGAUACCUUAUCAGCAAUCAAAAUUUUGGCAAAUAUUCUGUAUUGAACUUUUAAUAGAUAUACAUAUGAUAAUUUUCAAUAUAUAUAUAUAUAUAUAUAUAUAUAUAUAUAUCGUUCAUUAAUGUAAUAUAUACAUAUCAUUAAUGAAUAUAGGGCGAACGAACCCAGGGCGAACGGACUAUCAGGGCGAACAAACUCAGUGCGAACGAACCUAGGGCGAACAUGUAAUCAGGGCGAACGAUCCCGAUACCCGUUCACCCUAUAGUCGCUGUCAGCUGAAAUUCGUAGCGGUUAUCGGUAAAAAUAAUCUAAACUAUCAAUCGCGUUCACUCGAGAUAUAGUUUUUCACAUUCCAUUCAUAAAUCGCAAAAAGAAAAAACACUACUGACCUACCUUUUAAGUGAUCACACUGUAAUAAUCCUGACCUUCACAUUUUCCAGAAUAUUUUCCAUUGUAAUUCCGCCAUCUUCAAUUCUAUGAGGAUCAUUUGUUUACAUAUGACAUUUGUCACUGUACGCAGUUUCCUGAAAUGUUCCUUUCAUUGAUGUUAUAAGGUUUCCCGCGCUUUAUGCAAAUUUUAUGAAAUUGAACUCCACGGAAACACUUCCGGUAAAAACAAUGGCUUUUGCCCAGGGUCCAUUCGCCCUGAUUUUUUUUUUCCAAAAUGUUUUCUUGUUUCUUUGUGUAUUAUGUUUAUUAUGACCAUGAUGACUAUUAUGUGAACAGAAUAUGUUGAAAUUUUGUUGAAAAAUUACCGUAAUAUUUGUACAUGUAUAGCCGAAACCAAUUUAUUAUUUUUCCUUUGAUUUGUUAUGUCAUUGAUCUAUAAUUGAUCAAAACAAGCCGUCAGCUUUUAAAUAUUUUUAUGAUACAGUUUUCAUAAAGGACAAUUUAAGGUAUGAUAAGGGCCGUUUCUGGUCCCCCUUUUUUGAGAAUUUUUAAACUUUGAAAUUGAAACCCAUCACGCAUGUGUAAUGAACUGCAGUAUCUGAUCGUCCAUAAAGAACCUUAUUUUUAGAUGUUAUGUACUCAAAUAUGUUCAAACUGAGACCUUGAAAAGCCCUAAACGACGAAAAGUGAAAAAAAUCUACAAUUUCGUCAUGUUCGGAGACAAAAUUUGACAUCAGCGCCAACGUAGACCAUCUUGAAAUUUUCAACCAUCAACUGUACUCUUAUGUAUCUUUCACAUAAUAAAAUAUCAUAGUGGUCUACGUUGGCGCUCAUGUCUAAAAAUUUGAAAAAAUAAUCCGAUUGUUUACAUAUUUUGACAAGUCAUUAUAAAACGUCAAAGUGAACGGCACGGGUACGAAAUUAUUCCGGGAUCCAUAAUUGAUCAGAAUAUUACGUACGGAUUGUUUUAUGUCGUAUCCAGUCAUCGGCAAGACAUGUCACUGUCUUAAAGAAAUAUGUUGUACGUGAAAUUAGACCCAUAAUGAUCAAAAUAGCAACUAAGCAGCCAAAUACAGAGUUGUGUCCCUUGAAAUAUGGUGAAUUAAUUUUUAUUCAUUACAAUUUUCAAAUAUUCAACGAAAUCUUACAAAUAAAUUUUAUAAUAAAUUCUCAUUAUAUUCAAACUCUUUUUGUAGUUCUGAAGAAAAUUAUGUCAUCAAAACGUAUAUAUUUGCUUUUUGAAGUUUUCCAUUUAACUAUCUACAGAAAAAAAGAUUUAUGUAUCAUAUACAUUUCGUGCACAUUUUCCUUACCAUACUGACCGUGCAAGGGCUGUAAAGCCAGUCAAGGUCGUUAAACACUUCCAUUUUAUGUUCGAUACUCGGUUCGUUACCAUAAAUUUUAGGACUUCACACGUGCAUUGGCCAUUGUAUAGUAGUUAUAUAAACAGAGAACUAAGAAUAAUAAAAUCACUUGUUGAUAGACAAAAAUCUGCGCACAGUCCUAAACUAAUACGUUAUACAUGUGCAGUCAGUAUUAAAUCCAAAGUACGGAAUGUAAUUAUACACAUAAUUCCAGGUAAAGAGCAGUUGAUACUGAAAUUAAGUUAACUACACUUAUACUAUACUGUAAAUGUAUUUCCAGCCUAUUCAUAUAUCGGUACACUAAAGAUUUAUCUUAUAUAUGUGUCAGAGCACUCUUUUGACAAGAUCUAAUCAUAAAAUAUAAGUACACAUGUAGCAUUCAAUUGACCCAGAUCCUAAUAUAGAUUAUCAAAUAAAACAUGCUAUAGCGAAAUUACUUUUAACAUAUUUACUUGCAUUAAUACAAAUUGGAUAAGACCCAUGGCAAACAAACUUUAUAUGAAGUAUGCGCAAAAAGAAACAUGUGUAUUUGUUUGAAUGUGUAUUUUGUUUUGUCUAUGUAAGUGACAAAAUUUCAUGCCAAACCUUAGUCCGAUUCCUGGAGCGCACUGGUACUUCUUACCUAGCUGUUUAAUGUACAUGUAAACUGUCCUGUCAAUUCUAUUUCACAUUCCCCCUCUCCUCACGGGACAAAAUGUCGAGCACGUUCGUUAAUUUAUAUCUGUCCGUCUAUCCAUCUGUCCGUCUAUUUCUGUCUGGACAUAUACGUCUAGCUAUCUCCUUCAAUUUUUUACCUAAAAAGCUUUUAAUUUAUAAUAGAGGUGUGUAUGUCUACAGGGUUUUGAUUUUUUUUUUUAAUUUUCUUUAAAUGUCUGGUAUUUUUGGUACAAGCUAUAUAUAUAUAUGUAAAGAGUCGGAUAUCCUCAUACGGUUUUUGAUAUACAGCUUUUAUACCUAAUAGGUUUAUUGUACACAAAAUUGAAGCAUGUAUUGCCAUCGGAUUUUUAUUAUCCUUCAAACAUUCUAAAAAUGUCAGAUUUUUGGACUUAGUCAAUAUUUCUUGCUACUUAAAAAACAAUUAGGGUAGUUGUUGAAUAUUCACCAAAAACGGUAGUUGAACUUGUUUUCCCUCUAACUUGCUAUUGAAGGCAGAACUUGCACUACUAGUACUACAGUUUAAUGUCCCAAAUGCAAUAAAUAAGAUUUUUUUAGUAACUUCAAAUAAUUAUUCAAUACCGGAAAGGUUGAAUUUGGUGAAUACUACAGCCGAUUCCAUUGAGUGUGAAGUCAAAGGUAAUAUUCUUAGUUUGCUUGCUUGUUAGAUGAACCAUAAAGUCAUUGUUAGGUCAGGUUAACUAUCCUCCUUUAAGAAUAUACUUGUUCAGCAGAUUACCAAUCUAUCUGUCGGAUGGACUAUGCUUCUUCGAAAAGGAGGUAGUAAGCCUGACAUAAUAAUGACUUCACGGUUCAGCUAACAAGCAAGCUUACCAAAGAUUUUACCUUUUGGCUUCACACUAAAUAAAAUCGGCUGUAAAUCUUGAAAGUUAAAAUCUUUUGUCUGGACAUUCAGUCCUGCAAGUGAAGACAUUCAGAAUAAAAAUAAUAAAUAGAUCAACAUUGAAAGGAGAAAUUAAGGUUGAAAACGAGUGCACCUGCACGAGCGGGGGAUCAAAAACUCACAGCCUCAGUGUUGACUGGCUAGUGAUCACAGAGGAAGUAUCUUCUUAGACCACUCGGCCACCGAGACCCUUUAAUAAAGUAUGUCUAGUUUUCUAAUCAAAUUCGAAUGUUUGGGGUUUUCAUGAAACUACUACUUACCAACAACUGUUUCAUUAAAAAAGCAUAACAUUUUGGAUAAGAUAAGGAGAUGUGGGAUGAUUGCACAUGAUACUAUACACCGGCGAUCAAUGUGCUAAUAUCAGGAUAUAUAUCGUAGAAAUAAUGAAUUUUUAGAGAAGCUGGAAGAUUUUCAUGCCUCUUUCGUCUACAUAUCUUAAUGAAUUUUUAACGUCUUAAACUCGACCUCAUCGAAAACUUUAAACUUUGUUUUCAGCAUUUCAGUCUUUAAAAUAUUCUGUUAAGUGUUAGAAAGUUCACAGUGUACGAUUCUUUAAAUAGACAAACAAUGACAUUGUACAGGCUAUGCAUAUUUGCUAUACAUACUGUAUAAAUCUGAUACUGAAUCUUCAAUAGUAGUUAUAAUCAAUUUGCGUUUUUUAAUUUACCGGUAAUCAUCAUGUAAAUGUGAAAUGCUAUAUUCAAAACUUCAACUAUUAUUUAUGAAUUAUCAGUGUUAUACUUCUUAUAUAACUUAAAGUUUUUUUUGGCCCCAGUUAUGGGCAUUCUGUUUUCUGGUCUGUGCGUUCGUCUGUUCGUUCGUCCGUUUAUCCGUCCGUCCGUCCAUUUGUCCGGCUAAAUGUUAAAGUUUUUGGUCGAGGUAGUUUUUGAUGAAGUUGAAGACCAAUCAACUUGAAAUUUAGUACACAUGUUCCCUAUGAUAUGAUAUUUCUAAUUUUAAUGCCAGAUUGGAGAUGUUGCUCCGUUUUAACGUUAAACUAUACUGGGGAUACAUUCUUGUUUAUUUUACCUACUAACUUGUUAAUGUUUAUACUUACUAAUUAUCAUGGGACAAUAUGAUUUGUAUUUAUCCUUUUUUUUAAUAAACCGACCAUUUCCUUGAUAGCUAUCUUUUAUUUGAUAGUAAAAUUGAGAAUGAAAUAGGGAAUGUGUCAAAGAGACAACUACCCGACCAUAGAGCAGACAACAACCGAUGGGUCUUCAAUGCUGCGAGAAACUUCCGCACCCUGAUGCAUCUUUCAGAUGCAUCUUUCAGCUGGCCCCAAACAAAUAUGUAUACUAGUUCAGUAAUAGUUGACGUCAUACUAAACUCCGUAUUAUACACAAGAAACUAAAAUUAAAAUCAUACAACACUAACAAAGGUCAGAGACUCCUGACUUGGGACAUGCGCAAAAAUGCGGCGGGGUUAAACAUUUUUUUUGAGGGAUCUCAACCCUGCUUUUGGUAACAGCAUAUGAUUUAAUAUUUACAUCACCAAGAUAUAAUAAUGAUGCCAAAAACCUACAUGUACUUCGGUUUACAAAGAAAACCAAACAUUAUUUAACCGUUUCUAAGCACUAUUUUGGUUGCUAAUCUUUGUAUAAGCAUGGUAUACAAUUGACUUGCUUUCAUUUCUUACUGCUAGUUAUUGUUGCAUGUAUUAACCAAUCUAACCUGAUUUUAAUCUAAUUUGUACAAUUAAAAAUCAAAAGAUUUUUUUUGUAGUUCAAUUCAAUUUCUAUCUUUUUCGGCUGUUGCUAAGCAACUUUUAGGUUGCUAUGGUCAAUUUCAUUUGUUUUAAAAAAAUAAUGAUGACUGACACAUCAUAUAUAUGAAAGAAAAAUCAUUUACAGUAGCUAAUUCUUUGAAUAUUGCUAUAGUUAUACCUCAUAUGGCCGAAAUUACAAAUUUUUGAACCGUUGCUAGGCAAAAUUUUUGUUGCUAGGUUGUUGCUAAGCAUUUGUUUAAACUGAAAUUGAAGUGACUUUUCAUUUGUAAACUUCAGUUAGUGUUAAACAAACAAUAUUAUUUUGAAUUAUGCAAAUGUGUAAUGAGAAAGCAAUGCAUAUGUGAUAAUUUGGCUAUUUAUUUAAACCGUUGCUAGGCAACCUUCCUUUCACCGGAACAUGAAAAAAUCAUAGUUUUGAAAUGUUUCUAUACUAAGGCUAUCAAUGAUGUAUAUAUAAACUUAUUUGUGAAGGGGGCCAAAAACGCCUCUUAUCAUACCUUGUCCUUUAAAGAAUAAAAAUAUCUUUAUUCAACUUCAAUGCUCUCAAUAUUAUUUUUAUUAGGGCGAACAGACUCUGCAUGUAUGGGCGACUGAACCCAGGGUGAACAUUUUAUUAGGGCGAACGGAACCGAUAGCAAUGAAAGCAUUCUUUAUUACCAUGCUACAUGUACAUGAUGUAACAGGUAGACAUGCUAGAGAUCAAUUGAUAGUCACAUACUUUCUAUGAUACUGUCAUUACCACUAUACAUCCGUCAACCAUGAGUUAAUCCAUACUGUAUAGUAAGAUCUAAAUAACCCAGAAAUAACAAAUGUAAAGCAUUCCAAACAGAAAACUAUUAAUCGGUCUGAUUAAUAUCCAUUUUUUUUUUAUAUAAAAAACAAAUGCUGUAAUGAUACAUGUACAUGUAUAUCAUGUAUAUACAUAUACAACAUUUAGUUAGUACAUGUACAUAUGUAAAUAAACAACAUGAACAAAGGACAACCACAUCCACUGAAUUAUAUGUAUUACAGACUUUUAACAUGUUUUAAGGAUUUAUAUGUCAAUUUAAGUGUGUAAUUUGUGUGCUUUCUUGUUUUCGUUUAUGUUGUAUUUUUGUUUGCCAUUUACAUGUAGUUGUAUAUUGGGAAUUUAUGGAUGCCACUCCACAAAGACAAUGAAAGACCAGGACUUGGAUUAAUGUAGCAUGAAACUUUCAGAAAUCUUAAAUAUCUUGAUUACUAUGUCAUGAUGCCUUUGCAUUGUGAAACUAUUUUUCUUAAUAUGUCAGAGUGAGCAACUGAAAUUAUACAUACAUUGUUUUUACUGUAUUUUUGUUUGUAAUAUAUCACAGUGGACAUCACUGACUCUAUAUUACUCUUUAUAAUUACUGUUGCCAGACUCACUUUUAGGAAUCUUGGAAUAACAUUUGUAUUUCACUUUUUUUCUAUUCCUAAUAUAAAAAAGAAGAUGUGGUAUGAUUGCCAAUGAGACAACUGUCCACAAGAGACCAAAAUGACACAGACAUUAACAAAUAUAGGUCACCGUAUGGCCUUCAACAUUGAGCAAAGCCCAUACCGCAUAGUCUGCUAUAAAAGGCCCCGAUAAGACAAUGUAAAACAAUUCAAACGAGAAAACUAACGGCCUUAUUUAUAUAAAAAAAUUAACCAAAAACAAAUAUGUAACACAUAAACAAAUGACAACCACUGAAUUACAGGCUCCUGACUUGGGACAGGCACAUCCAUAAAUAAUGUGGCGAGGUUAAACAUGUUAGUGGGAUCCCAACCCUCCCCUAACCUGGGACAGUGGCCAUGUAUAACAGUACAACAUAAGAACAUAAGCCAAUAUAUAUACAGAAAUAUGUCUUGAGAAAAGGUAUGAAGGUUAAAAUUGAGAAUGGAAAUGGGGAAUGUGUUGACCAUAGACACAUAAUUGAACAGACAGAAGGUCACCAGUAGGUCUUCAAUGCAGUGAGAAAUUCCCGCAUCAAGAGAUGUCCUUCAACUGGCCCCUAAACAAAUAUAUAUACUAGUUCAGUGAUAAUGAAAGCCAUACUGAACUCCAUAUUCUAUAUUAAUUUUUUUUUGUUUAGCUUAAUUUAAAAAUCAUAUGAAUAUUUAUUAUUAAUCUGCUUUUAAGGUACCUUCUACCAGUCAUCCAGUGUCAUUUAAAGUUACUAGAGCAGAAAUUUAAACCAUGAAGAAAGUGAUACAUUGUAUACAUGGUAAUUAACCAAUAGAAUUUUUUUUUUAAAGAUAUUCUUAUAUAAGACAAAUUAGUUGUUAAAACAAACAUACACAUAGAGAACUGUUAGUAGAUUGUGCCACUUUUGUUCUCUUGUUCUUAUCUUUAAAGCCUUUUUUUCAAAUGAACUAGUACAGAUUCUUUUGAUUUCUAUACGCCUGAGGUUUGUCAAUAAAUGAAAACUAAAGAAAUUAGCAGAACUUAAAAUACUUUAUUAAUCCAAUUAUGGACCCUUGCCGGUUUUAAAUGUCAUAGAUUUGUGUUAUAACAAUGAAAAACAUCACAAUAGGUAAUACAUAUAUUAUUAUUACAACAACACUUUAAAGAGUCAAUUUUUUUUUUGAAAACUUGGAUCAGAUAAAUAUAGAUUUUUUUUUUUACUAUUUAUCAAAUCUAUUCAUAACUGCUGACUGUCUACUUUCCCUUUUUCCUCUCCCAAAGCAAUUAAACUAAAUUUAACGGUUUUCAAGUUUUGAUGUCACAUGUUUGUUGAGUAAACAGGCAUUUAUACAAUGUAAGUACGAAAUUUUAUUUCUAUGAUUUUUAUUCUUACAAUUAUUUUAAACAUGAUCAUACAUGUACCAUUAUUAAUUUGCAUGUAUUAUAAUAUAUUCAUUUCUGUUUUGUAGAUUUUCUAGAGGAACUACAUAUUGAGUUACAUAACAGACAGAGAGCUAUCACAGUCACAUAUAAUAUGUUGGAAGCAGCAUUUUAUAAGAUAUCAAUACGACAGUGGACAUACUACCCUUUUGGAUGAAUUAUAGCCUGAAGAAGUUUUGAUCUGACAUUAAGGACUGGGCCAUACAAUUUUUGCCCUAAUGCUCCAAGUGGUUUGUUUAGAAGGGACUGAGUUAACUUGUGUGUGUCUUCAUCUUUAAAGUAAAGGACUUGAUUGACUAUUUGUAAAAACAAAAAUUUUAUAGAAUAAUAAAAAAAAUAAUGCUAACUGAUUUUUGUAUUGUCUGUGAAAAUAGAGCUCUAUGUAUGGGAGACUUGAAGAUUUACUGAUUACUAUCUGGCUGCAGCCGUGUAAACUAUUUGUACAAAGCUUUAUAUUUUAGAGGGGAGAAGACAUGGAUGCUUCAAACCUUUUAUGCAGAUACCUUAUGCUAAGAAGUUUCCUUCUGUCAGGUGUCCCUUUUCCUUGACAACAUUUUAAUGUUUAAACAAAACCAUAAAAAAUAUACCUACCAGGUAGUUUUAUCU